rnacentral:rRNA from 1 species
AUUGAACGCUGGCGACAUGCCUUACACAUGCAAGUCGAACGGCAGCACGGGAGCAAUCCUGGUGGCGAGUGGCGAACGGGUGAGUAAUAUAUCGGAACGUGCCCAGUCGUGGGGGAUAACGCAGCGAAAGCUGUGCUAAUACCGCAUACGAUCUAAGGAUGAAAGCGGGGGAUCGCAAGACCUCGCGCGAUUGGAGCGGCCGAUAUCAGAUUAGCUAGUUGGUGGGGUAAAGGCCCACCAAGGCGACGAUCUGUAGCUGGUCUGAGAGGCCGACCAGCCACACUGGAACUGAGACACGGUCCAGACUCCUACGGGAGGCAGCAGUGGGGGAUUUUGGACAAUGGGCGCAAGCCUGAUCCAGCAAUGCCGCGUGCAGGAUGAAGGCCUUCGGGUUGUAAACUGCUUUUGUACGGAGCGAAACGGCUCUCACUAAUACUGGGGGCUAAUGACGGUACCGUAAGAAUAAGCACCGGCUAACUACGUGCCAGCAGCCGCCGCCG